GAUGAACGCUAGCGGCAGGCUUAACACAUGCAAGUCGAGGGGCAGCGCGGGUAGCAAUACCUGGCGGCGACCGGCAAACGGGUGCGGAACACGUACGCAAUCUGCCCUUACCCGGAGCAUAGCCCGAAGAAAUUCGGAUUAACUCUCCAUAAGAUAGUAAAAUGGCAUCAUUUAGCUAUUAAAAAUUUAUUGGGUAAGGAUGAGCGUGCGUCCCAUUAGCUAGUUGGUAGGGUAACGGCCUACCAAGGCGACGAUGGGUAGCUGGUGUGAGAGCACGACCAGCCACACGGGCACUGAGACACGGGCCCGACUCCUACGGGAGGCAGCAGUGAGGAAUAUUGGUCAAUGGACGCAAGUCUGAACCAGCCAUGCCGCGUGAAGGAUGAAGGCCUUCUGGGUUGUAAACUUCUUUUAUGUGGGAAGAAACCUCUGAUUUCUAUUAGAGUUGACGGUACCAUAGGAAUAAGCACCGGCUAACUCCGUGCCAGCCGCCGCAGUAACAC
rnacentral:rRNA from 1 species